AGUGAACGCUGGCGGUAGGCCUAACACAUGCAAGUCGAACGGCAGCACAGUAAGAGCUUGCUCUUACGGGUUGCGAGUGGCGGACGGGUGAGGAAUACAUCGGAAUCUACUUUUUCGUGGGGGAUAACGUAGGGAAACUUACGCUAAUACCGCAUACGACCUACGGGUGAAAGCAGGGGAUCUUCGGACCUUGCGCGAUUGAAUGAGCCGAUGUCGGAUUAGCUAGUUGGCGGGGUAAAGGCCCACCAUGGCGACGAUCCGUAGCUGGUCUGAGAGGAUGAUAGGCCACACUGGAACUGAGACACGGUCAAGAGGCCUACGAGAGGCAGCAGUGGGGAAUAUUGGACAAUGGGCGCAAGCCUGAUCCAGCCAUACCGCGUGGGUGAAGAAGGCCUUCGGGUUGUAAAGCCCUUUUGUUGGGAAAGAAAAGCAGCAGGUUAAUACCCCGCUGUUCUGACGGUACCCAAAGAAUAAGCACCGGCUAACUUCGUG
rnacentral:rRNA from 1 species